GUUCAGUGUAAUGAACUUACCCCGAUUGUUCGAGAGGUAGUGCAUGGCCCGCCGUCAGUUCGUACCGCAAGGCGUUUCUGUUAAGUCAGAUAACGAANCGAGACCNUCAUCUCUAUUUGCUAACCAGAUCUCCGGAUCUGGUGCACUAUAGGGAGACCGCUGGCGCUAAGUCAGAGGAAGGGGAGGGCAACGGUAGGUCAGUAUGCUCCGAAUGCUAUGGGCUACACGCGCAAUACAAAGGACAGGACAAUGGGCUGCUGCUCCGAAAGGAAUGAUAGCUAUCCCGAAACCUGUUCGUAGUUCGGAUUGAGGGCUGUAACUCGCCCUCAUGAAGCUGGAUUAGGUAGUAAUCGCGUCUCAAAAAGGCGCGGUGAAUAUGCCCCUGCUCCUUGCACACACCGCCCGUCAAA
rnacentral:rRNA from 1 species